rnacentral:rRNA from 1 species
UACAGGGGGGGCAAGCGUUGUUCGGAAUUACUGGGCGUAAAGGGCUCGUAGGCGGCCAACUAAGUCACACGUGAAAUCCCCAGGCCUAACCUGGGAACUGCGUGUGAUACUGGAUGGCUUGAAUCCGGGAGAGGGAUGCAGAAUUCCAGGUGUAGCGGUGAAAUGCGUAGAUAUCUGGAGGAAUACCGGUGGCGAAGGCGGCAUCCUGGACCGGCAUUGACGCUGAUGAGCGAAAGCUAGGGGAGCAAACGGG